GCUGGCAUAGCUCAGUUGGUAGAGCAGCUGAUUUGUAAUCAGCAGGUCGCUGGUUCGACUCCGGCUGCCAGCUCCA
rnacentral:tRNA from 1 species